GUUAUUAAAUGUCUUUGGACCCUCAGUUGUUUUUCUAGAUCUCUACUCUGAUUACAUGAAUUCAAGCUACCAUCAUCUGUCAUCCAAUUUCUGUAACAACUUUGUAAUUGGUGUCUGUUUCUAAUUUGCAAAUGUUUAUACAAGCUAUUUGGGUGGGAAAAUAAUAAAAGGACAUGAAUUCUCUUGAAUUGGCUAUUUGAUAGUAUGGUUAACAUGUUUAAGAAGAUGAGCUGGGCACAAUGGUGUACGCCUGUAACCCCAAUGAUGAAGGCAGCAGCAGGAGGAUUGCAAGGUCAGUGCCAGCCUCAGCAACUUAGGCCCUAAGCAAAUUAGCAAGACCAAGUCUCAAAACAAAGAAUACAAAAAAAGGGGAGGGGAUAUGUUUCAGUGAUUUAAGCACCUCUGGC
rnacentral:lncRNA from 1 species